rnacentral:lncRNA from 1 species
GCUGCUAAUGGCCACUGGCUACUUCCUCAUGCUCGGUCCGACGAGGCAGAGACCUUGCAGAUUGUCCUCUCAACAAUGACCCCUCCUUCUGAUGAGAAUGGCAGGGAUGUCUAUCUGUGGAGGAAUGGAGAGGACCAUUAUGUCCAGAAGUUUUCGACCAAGGCUACUUGGAUUAGGCUAAGAGAACCCUCACCUCUGGUACCAUGGAGCAGACUAGUCUGGUUCAAGGAAGAAAUACCGAGAUGUUCUUUUGUUACUUGGAUGGUGGCUCUCGCUAGGCUUCCCACCAGGGAUCGGCUUGCUUCGUGGGGCAUGAACGUUCCAACGCAGUGUGUU